GUAGGGAAUAUUGGGCAAUGGAGGCAACUCUGACCCAGCCAUGCCGCGUGCAGGAAGACGGUCCUCUGGAUUGUAAACUGCUUUUGAAUGGGAAGAACACUACCCUUGCGAGGGUAUUUUACGGUACUAUUAGAAUAAGCACCGGCUAACUCCGUGCCAGCAGCCGCGGUAAUACGGAGGGUGCAAGCGUUAUCCGGAUUUAUUGGGUUUAAAGGGUGCGUAGGCGGCUUUAUAAGUCUGGGGUUAAAGGCGGCAGCAUAACUGUACGCAUGCCUGGGAAACUGUGAGGCUUGAGUGACUUGGAGGUAGCUGGAAUUCCCUGUGUAUCGGUGAAAUGCAUAGAUACGGGGAGGAAUACCGAUUGCGAAGGCAGGUGGCUGUACCUUAAUCGACGCUGAUGCACGAAAGCAUGGGGAGCAAACAGGAUUAGAUACCCGUGUAGUCC
rnacentral:rRNA from 1 species